UACGUAGGGCGCAAGCGUUGUCCGGAAUUAUUGGGCGUAAAGCGUACGUAGGCGGACCAUUAAGUCGGGGGUGAAAUCCCAGGGCUCAACCCUGGAACUGCCUUCGAUACUGGUGGUCUGGAGUCCGGGAGAGGUGAGUGGAACUCCUAGUGUAGAGGUGAAAUUCGUAGAUAUUAGGAAGAACACCAGUGGCGAAGGCGGCUCACUGGCCCGGUACUGACGCUGAGGUACGAAAGCGUGGGGAGCAAACAGG
rnacentral:rRNA from 1 species